rnacentral:misc_RNA from 1 species
GAUGAAGAACGCAGCGAAAUGCGAUAAGUAGUGUGAAUUGCAGAAUUCAGUGAAUCAUCGAAUCUUUGAACGCACAUUGCGCCCGCCAGUAUUCUGGCGGGCAUGCCUGUUCGAGCGUCAUUUCAACCAUCAAGCCCCAGGCUUGUGUUGGGGACCUGCGGCUGCCGCAGGCCCUGAAAACCAGUGGCGGGCUCGCUAGUCACACCGAGCGUAGUAGCAUACACAUCGCUCAGGGCGUGCUGCGGGUUCCGGCCGUUAAACCCCUUUUUUACCCAAGGUUGACCUCGGAUCAGGUAGGAAGACCCGCUGAACUUAAGCAUAUCAAUAAGCGGAGGA